UACGUAGGGGGCAAGCGUUAUCCGGAUUUACUGGGUGUAAAGGGAGCGCAGACGGCACUGCAAGUCUGAAGUGAAAGCCCGGGGCUCAACCCCGGGACUGCUUUGGAAACUGUAGAGCUAGAGUGCUGGAGAGGCAAGCGGAAUUCCUAGUGUAGCGGUGAAAUGCGUAGAUAUUAGGAAGAACACCAGUGGCGAAGGCGGCUUGCUGGACAGUAACUGACGUUCAGGCUCGAAAGCGUGGGGAGCAAACAGG
rnacentral:rRNA from 3 species